rnacentral:rRNA from 1 species
CUGGCGGCGUGCUUAACACAUGCAAGUCGAACGAGAAUCUGUGGAACGAGGAUUCGUCCAAGUGAAGCAGAGGACAGUGGCGGACGGGUGAGUAACGCGUGAGGAACCUGCCUUUCAGAGGGGGACAACAGUUGGAAACGACUGCUAAUACCGCAUGACACAUAGAUGUCGCAUGGCAUUUAUGUCAAAGAUUUAUCGCUGAAAGAUGGCCUCGCGUCUGAUUAGCUAGUUGGUGAGGUAACGGCCCACCAAGGCGACGAUCAGUAGCCGGACUGAGAGGUUGAACGGCCACAUUGGGACUGAGAUACGGCCCAGACUCCUACGGGAGGCAGCAGUGGGGAAUAUUGGGCAAUGGGCGCAAGCCUGACCCAGCAACGCCGCGUGAAGGAAGAAGGCUUUCGGGUUGUAAACUUCUUUUGUCAGGGACGAGCAGAAGACGGUACCUGACGAAUAAGCCACGGCUAACUACGUG